rnacentral:rRNA from 1 species
GACGAACGCUGGCGGCGUGCUUAACACAUGCAAGUCGAAGCGGUAAGGCCCUUUCGGGGGUACACGAGCGGCGAACGGGUGAGUAACACGUGGGUGACCUGCCCUCAGCUCUGGGAUAAGCCUGGGAAACCGGGUCUAAUACUGGAUAUGACUCCAUGACGCAUGUUGUGGGGUGGAAAGCCUUGUGCGGCUGAGGAUGGGCCCGCGGCCUAUCAGCUUGUUGGUGGGGUGANGGCCUACCAAGGCGACGACGGGUAGCCGGCCUGAGAGGGCGACCGGCCACACUGGGACUGAGACACGGCCCAGACUCCUACGGGAGGCAGCAGUGGGGAAUCUUGCGCAAUGGGCGAAAGCCUGACGCAGCGACGCCGCGUGAGGGAUGACGGCCUCG